rnacentral:rRNA from 1 species
AUUGAACGCUGGCGGCAGGCUUAACACAUGCAAGUCGAGCGGAGAUGAGGUGCUUGCACCUUAUCUUAGCGGCGGACGGGUGAGUAAUGCUUAGGAAUCUGCCUAUUAGUGGGGGACGACAUUCCGAAAGGAAUGCUAAUACCGCAUACGCCCUACGGGGGAAAGCAGGGGAUCUUCGGACCUUGCGCUGAUAGUUGAGCCUAAGUCGGAUGAGCUAGUUGGUGGGGUAAAGGCCUACCAAGGCGACGAUCUGUAGCGGGUCUGAGAGGAUGAUCCGCCACACUGGGACUGAGACACGGCCCAGACUCCUACGGGAGGCAGCAGUGGGGAAUAUUGGACAAUGGGCGGAAGCCUGAUCCAGCCAUGCCGCGUGUGUGAAGAAGGCCUUUUGGUUGUAAAGCACUUUAAGCGAGGAGGAGGCUACCUGGAUUAAUACUCUAGGAUAGUGGACGUUACUCGCAGAAUAAGCACCGGCUAACUCUGUGCCAGCCGCCGCCGUAA